rnacentral:rRNA from 1 species
GAUGAACGCUAGCGACAGGCUUAACACAUGCAAGUCGAGGGGCAGCAUAGAAGUAGCAAUACUUUGGUGGCGACCGGCGCACGGGUGAGUAACGCGUAUGCAACCUACCUAUCAGAGGGGAAUAACCCGGCGAAAGUCGGACUAAUACCGCAUAAAACAGGGGCACCGCAUGGUGAUAUUUGUUAAAGAAAUUCGCUGAUAGAUGGGCAUGCGUUCCAUUAGGUAGUUGGUGAGGUAACGGCUCACCAAGCCGACGAUGGAUAGGGGAACUGGGAGGUUGGUCCCCCACACGGGUACUGAGACACGGACCAGACUCCGACGGGAGGCAGCAGUGAGGAAUAUUGGUCAAUGGGCGGGAGCCUGAACCAGCCAAGUCGCGUGAAGGAAGAAGGAUCUAUGGUUCGUAAACUUCUUUUGCAGGGGAAUAAAGUGCAGGACGUGUCCUGUUUUGUAUGUACCCUGAGAAUAAGGAUCGGCUAACUCCGUGCCAGCAGCCGCCGUAA